UCUGAUUUGCCAUUUUGGAUUUAGAUAAGGAUAUGCUAUUGUUUUUCUCUGUGGCUUUUAUUUGUUGAUUUUUGUUUUUCCAAUUUCUAGUCAGAUUUCUUCUUUAAUACUGAGCAGUUGGUUACAGAAGCAACAUAAACCAGGUUAUUAGACAUAUUGUUGAUACUAUCUGUAAUGUACCAUGAGACUAUCUGAAAAUGUUUACUUUUUCUCAAAUGCUAGUGUUAUUACUAAUAUGUUUGCCUUGUUUACGGUGAUCUCAUGAGGAAUUUUCUUAGUGGUAAUAUACUGAGUGAAUGGGCUUCUACAAAGUUGGAAUAUAUGUCCUUUAAUGUGUACAACUUAACUAGACCAAUCUCUGCCUUCUUGGGACACAUCAGCACUCUAAAAUACUUGAACUUGAGACUAACAUGUUUUCUGGAACUGUUCCUCCUGAGCUUGGGAAAUUGGUUAACUUGCAGAAUCUAAAACUCCAAAGGACAAGAAAGCAACUUUACUGGUCCAUGGGUUUGUAGAUAAGGUAUUGUACCUUAAUUACUACCAGUGAUUAUUAUUUUGUUUUGGCUGAAGAAAGUGUAGUAUUUAUCAGAUGUAUUGGAGAAACGUUAAUGACCUACAUCGGUAUAAAUCAGAAUGUUUAGGUGCAGUUGGUUUAUUUUCUUUACAGAGUGAUAUUAUCUAUUCAUUUGUACUACAGGUUAUUUCAGGUGUCUUGGACAUUCUAAAUCUUCAGAUUCCUUCAUUUGUUCGGAUAGAUCUUUUUCAUAUCAUUCUAACUCAAGCGUUGAGUAUAGGUAAUCUAAAUUCAUGCUUAUUUAAAUAGUUUGUACUUGGGUGUAGAGACCGAAACAUGCAUGCUUGUAUUGUAUCUGAAGUAGACGCUUUGUGUACUUUUGUUCUUUUGGUUCUGAAAUAGAUCAUUGUACAAGUUCUAUAAUUGUUGGGAUGCUUCAACCAAGUUUACUUUGUUAGGAUGCUAUAAAGUCUUAUACAUAUGGGCGGGGGAAAGAGAAAACUCAUUAUCUUUAUUCAUUACCCUACUACAGAAUCAUUCCUUCAGUCUCACUGUCUGUGCUGAUUGGCAUGCUAUAUAUGUAGUAGUCACACCACUUCUGCUCCCAUUUCUGAUUGGCUACUUCUAUCUGGGCUAUGUUGUAUAUAUAAAUCAGGUUGAUAUUCUAACUUUGCUUUUAAAAUCCAAGUUUGUUAUUGUUAUUAUUCUCAUCAUUGUUGGUGUUGGUAUUCGUAUCAGGAUUGAGAUUGUAGUAGCAGCAGUACUAUUACUGUUACACAUACACAUCCUUUUCUAGAUAUGUCUCUCCCCAUGCCCUAUUCUGUUUUCAUAUAUUAAAAUCCAAAAAGAAAGAAAUAGACUCUCUCUGUCUGUUUAUUUUAGUCUUGAGAAGUUCAUUUUUAAAGUCUGAUCUACAUAAAAGCUACAUUCAUCAGUUUCAAGAUGUCAUAAUAUUCGUUUCAGUGCCUCUGAUAUGGCUUCCACAAUGGUCUCUGUCACGCCUCUUCAAGCUUCUAAAACAGUCCCUUGUUGCAGCCAUGCAUUCUCUGUACUGAAUUACUGAUAUCUAUAUAAACAUUUUUCUGGGACUUUUAUCUGUUCUUUCCUAUAGAGUAUGAUUAAAUUCUGGCUACAAUCUCAAAAUAUUUUAUGAGUCAGUAUUUUCUAAAAUUUCUACAUAUCUUCCAUGGUGCUAGUAUCUGAAAUGACAGACAUGCAACCAUGAAUAUGUUAUGUUGCAGAUUGAAGAUGUGUAUGAAAUAGUUUAUGACAUAUGUGGACAGUAUUGGCCAUAUAUACAUCCACCACUAUAUUCUCAUUGCACUCGUUCAUGCUUAUUUAAUGAGUAUUGCAAGACUCGUUUUCCUCCUACAUUCCACCUUUUAUCCAUUCAGGUAUACAUGAUCUAAGAACCUAUAUAUGUAAUUUCGUGAAUUUACUUCAUUUAUAGACCAAGAACUGUAAAUAUAGCAUCUCCAUUAGUGACUAUCUAUUACUAAUAUUGAUUAAAGUGAGAAUAUAUAUGUGUUGCUACUAAUAUUGAUCUCACCUGCAACUUCUGCUCUACUAGAUCGUCCCAUGAAAUAUAGCGCUCAUACUGACGAGUUAAACUUAGUUGUUCAAUAGUAUAUAUUUUGAACUAUGGCAUGUAAAGAUAUUCAGCAAAUAUCUGGUAUGACUUGAGUUAUGUAUGUAGCAAUAAUUUGAAUUAUGUGUCCUACAAACAAUAGUAGUAGUACAUUAAUUGUGUAUGUUGGACUUGUUGUUUUUGCAGAUAUUACUUGUUUUGGAUGGUAUGAAUUGAGUUAUAUAUGUAGCAGCAGCAGCAGCAGCUAGCUUUGAAUUAUGUAGUUAGCUUCAAAUCAGUCAGUCGUAGUAGUACAUUCGAUCUGGUGUCGGACUUGUGGUUUUUACAGACUACUUCUUUUGGAUCUUAGACAUGUAUUGAUGGAUGUUCUAUAUAUAUAUAUAUGGACUUGUUUGAUGUG